GAUGAAGAACGUAGCGAAAUGCGAUAAGUAAUGUGAAUUGCAGAAUUCAGUGAAUCAUCGAAUCUUUGAACGCACAUUGCGCCCGCCAGUAUUCUGGCGGGCAUGCCUGUCCGAGCGUCAUUUCAACCAUCAAGCCCCCGGGCUUGUGUUGGGGACCUGCGGCUGCCCGCAGGCCCUGAAAACCAGUGGCGGGCUCGCUGUCACACCGAGCGUAGUAGUAGCAAUCACCUCGCUCAGGGCGUGCUGCGGGUUCCGGCCGUUAAACAGCCUUACAAACCCCAAGGUUGACCUCGGAUCAGGUAGGAAGACCCGCUGAACUUAAGCAUAUCAAUAAGCGGAGGA
rnacentral:misc_RNA from 1 species